UCUCUGGCCGUCAGAUUUAUUUACCCAUGGAGGUUUGCAAGCUUGUGCAAGGGCAGAGAUACCGGCAAAAGCUUAGUACCACACAAGCAGCGAAGUUGCUGAAAAUAACCUGCAAACGUCCUCAGAAUAGGCUGAACGGAAUAUUAAAGGCUGCGAGAGGUAAUUUUGAUGUUGAAGAGCUUACAGAGGGGGAGUUCUCGGCCAGUGGAUUUCC